ensembl:lncRNA
AAAGGGGGCGCGGUCAAAAGGGGGCGUGGCCAGCGCGGGAGCGGAGCGGGAGGCUGGGGCCAUGGCUCAGGUCCUGCCUGCCGAUGCGUUCCCAGGUCGCCGCCGCUCGGGGUCAGGACCGGCGCCGGGGCCGGGGGACGCGCGGUACACGCUGGAGACGGCCUAUGGGUACCGGCUGGACCUGGGCUUCCUGGGCUACGUGGAGGCCAUCGAGAAGGGGCUGACGCUGCGGCGAGUGCCGGUGAACCGGCGCCUGCACCGCGCCUCGUGGGCCGGGGGCCGGGAGCCGGAGCCCCGCGCCCGGCCCCGGGGCGGGGGGGACGAGGAGGAGGCCGGGGCGGGACCGGCGGCGCUGCGCUUGGUGCGGGAGCAGAUGGCGGCGGCGCUGGGGCGGCUGCGGGAGCUGGAGGAGCAGGUCCGGGCGCUGCCGGCGCUUCGCCGCCGCCUCGAGCGGCUCCAGGAGGAGAAACGGCAGCUCCUGGAGCGGCUCCGGAGCCACCGCGGCUGCGGCUGCGGCGCCGGUGCCGCCGAGGAGGGAGACGGCGUCAGCGGGGCCGUUGUGGGGAGCGGGAGCGGCGCCGGCAGCGCCGGGGCCGGCUCCGGCAAUACCGGAUCCAUUGGUGGUUCCGGGAUCGGCUCCGGCAUCACCGGGUCCAUUGGUGGUACCGGGAUCGGCUCCGGCAUCACCGGAUCCAUUGGUGCGACCGGGACCGGCUCCGGCAUCGCCGGGUCCAUUGGUGGUACCGGGAUUGGCUCCGGCAUCACCGGAUCCAUUGGUGCGACCGGGACCGGCUCCGGCAUCACCGGAUCCAUUGGUGGGACCGGGAUCGGCUCUGGCAGCACCGGAUCCAUUGGGGGGACCGGGAUCGGCUCCGGCAUUACCGGGUCCAUUGGUGCGACCGGGAUCGGCUCCGGCAGCACCGGAUCCAUUGGUGGGACCGGGAUCGGCUCUGGCAGCACCGGAUCCAUUGGGGGGACCGGGGCCGGCUCCGGCAUCACCGGCUCCAUUGGUGGUACCGGGACCGGCUCCGGCUCCAUCGCUGCCGCCGGGACCGGCUCCGGGCAGGCGCGGGCGCUGCCGCGGGGCCGCCGCUCGGUGGCCGUGGGCACGGACGGGGCCGCGGCGCUGCCGGGGCGGGUGGUGGAGCUGGAGCAGCGCCUGCACCGGGCGCUGGAGGAGCUGCGGGAGGCCCGGGCCCGGCUGGGACAGCAGCCGCCGGGUGACGCCAACGGGGCCGAAGGCGACGGAGACCCCCCCGGGGGGGGCAGCGGCAGCUCCUCCGACGACAGCGAGUACCAUGAGGCAGAGGGGUGAGACCCACACACGCGUGUGCGAUGCGUGAUUCCCCCACACACGUGUACUCACAUGACACCCCCCUGCACACACAUGUGCUCACAUGGCACCCCCACACACACAUGUGCUCACAUAGCACCCCCCCACACACACAUGUGCUCACAUGACACCCCCCCGCACACACACGUGCUCACAUGACACCCCCCAGCACACCCAUGUGCUCACGACACUCCCCGCGCACACACAUGUGCUCACAUGACACCCCCCCGCACACACAUGUGCUCACAUGAUGUCUUCCAUGUGUGUUCCAGCCCCCCCCCCAGGCCCCUGCGGUGCCGCUGCGUGACAUCGCGUGACGUCAUACGAGCCCUCAUGACGUCACAGCGCACCCUGUGACAUCAUCACCCAGCAUCCCCCCCCCCCAUUUGCGUGUCCCCCCCCAACCUCCCCCCCAAUAAAGCACCUCCAGACACCGGGA